rnacentral:misc_RNA from 1 species
CAGAGAAAUUGCCCUUCGGGGUAGAUCUCCCACCCUAUGUUUACAUUAUCCUCUGUUGCUUUGGCAGGCCCGUCAUUUGACCACCGGCUUAGGCUGGUCCGUGCCUGCCAGAGGACCCUAAACUCUGAUUUUUGUGUUGUCUGAGUAAUAUAUAUAAUAAGUUA